rnacentral:rRNA from 1 species
AUACGGAGGGUGCAAGCGUUAUUCGGAAUCACUGGGCGUAAAGGACGCGUAGGCGGGUUGGCAAGUCAGAUGUGAAAUCCUACAGCUUAACUGUAGAACUGCAUUUGAAACUGCUAACCUAGAGUAUGGGAGGGGGAGAUGGAAUUAGUGGUGUAGGGGUAAAAUCCGUAGAUAUCACUAGGAAUACCGAAAGCGAAGGCGAUCUCCUGGAACAUAACUGACGCUAGGGCGUGAAAGCGUGGGGAGCAAACAGGAUUAGAUACCCUAGUAGUCC